AGAGUUUGAUCCUGGCUCAGAACGAACGCUGGCGGCAGGCCUCAAACAUGCAAGUCUAGGGGGUAGCAAUAUCACCGGCGGACGGGUGCGUAACGCGUGGGAAUGUACCUAUUGGUUCGGAACAACCGCGGGAAACUGCAGCUAAUACCGAAUGUGCCCGCAAGGGGAAAGAUUUAUCGCCAAUAGAUCAGCCCGCGUAGGAUUAGCUAGUUGGUGGGGUAAUGGCCCACCAAGGCUCCGAUCCUUAGCUGUUCUGAGAGGAAGAUCAGCCACACUGGGACUGAGACACGGCCCAGACUCCUACGGGAGGCAGCAGUUGGGAAUCUUGGACAAUGGGCGAAAGCCUGAUCCAGCCAUGCCGCGUGAGUGAUGAAGGCCUUCGGGUUGUAAAACUCUUUCGACGGGGACGAUAAUGACGGUACCCGUAGAAGAAGCUCCGGCUAACUUCGUGCCAGCAGCCGCGGUAAU
rnacentral:rRNA from 1 species